GACGAACGCUGGCGGCGUGCUUAACACAUGCAAGUCGAGCGGUAAGGCCCUUUCGGGGGUACACGAGCGGCGAACGGGUGAGUAACACGUGGGUGACCUGCCCUCAGCUCUGGGAUAAGCCUGGGAAACCGGGUCUAAUACUGGAUAUGACUCCAUGACGCAUGUUGUGGGGUGGAAAGCCUUGUGCGGCUGAGGAUGGGGCCCGCGGCCUAUCAGCUUGUUGGUGGGGUGANGGCCUACCAAGGCGACGACGGGUAGCCGGCCUGAGAGGGCGACCGGCCACACUGGGACUGAGACACGGCCCAGACUCCUACGGGAGCAGCAGUGGGGAAUCUUGCGCAAUGGGCGAAAGCCUGACGCAGCGACGCCGCGUGAGGGAUGACGGCCUGGUU
rnacentral:rRNA from 1 species